AAUCUGCCCUGGGUAAGUCGGGACCUAAGGCGAGGCCGACAGGCGUAGUCGAUGGACAACGGGUUGAUAUUCCCGUACCGGCGAAACAACGAUCCUGCCGAGGCAGUCAAUGCUAAACACGCAAGACCACGGGAGACCUUCGGGUCGAGCGUGGUUGAGUCUGUGACCCAAGACUGUAUUAGGCAAGCUGCGGAGGGACGCAGGAAGGUAGCCCAUCCCGGGCGAUGGUUGUCCCGGGCUAAGUGCGUAGGGUGAGGUGUAGGCAAAUCCGCACCUCGUGAGCCUGAGACAUGACGGCGAGGAAGCUUAUGGCUUCUGAAGUGGGUGAUCCUAUGCUGCCUAGAAAAUCUUCGUGAGCGAGUUGUCAGCCGCCCGUACCCUAAACCGACACAGGUGGAUAGGUAGAGAAUACCAAGGCGAUCGAGAGAAUCGUGGUGAAGGAACUCGGCAAAAUACCCCCGUAACUUCGGGAUAAGGGGGACCUGAUUCGUAAGAACACUAGCUGUUCGAAGCGUUGAGGGUCGCAGAGACCAGGCCCAAGCGACUGUUUACUAAAAACACAGGUCCGUGCCAAGUUGUAAGACGAUGUAUACGGACUGACUCCUGCCCGGUGCUGGAAGGUUAAGGGGAAGUGUUAGCGCGCAAGUGCGAAGCACCGAACUUAAGCCCCAGUAAACGGCGGUGGUAACUAUAACCAUCCUAAGGUAGCGAAAUUCCUUGUCGGGUAAGUUCCGACCUGCACGAAUGGAGUAACGAUUUGGGCGCUGUCUCCACCACGAACUCGGCGAAAUUGCAUUACGAGUAAAGAUGCUCGUUACGCGCAGCAGGACGGAAAGACCCCGGGACCUUUACUAUAGUUUGGUAUUGGUGUUCGGUACAGCUUGUGUAGGAUAGGUGGGAGACUUUGAAGCAUCAACGCCAGUUGGUGUGGAGUCAACGUUGAAAUACCACUCUGGCUGUUCUGGAUAUCUAACCUAGGUCCAUUAUCUGGAUCAGGGACAGUGCCUGAUGGGUAGUUUGACUGGGGCGGUCGCCUCCUAAAAUGUAACGGAGGCGCCCAAAGGUUCCCUCAGCCUGGUUGGCAAUCAGGUUUUGAGUGUAAGUGCACAAGGGAGCUUGACUGUGAGAGGGACACCUCAAGCAGGGACGAAAGUCGGGACUAGUAAUCUGACGGUGGCACGUGGAAGCGCCGUCACUCAACGGAUAAAAGGUACCCCGGGGAUAACAGGCUGAUCUUGCCCGAGCGUCCAUAGCGACGGCAUGGUUUGGCACCUCGAUGUCGGCUCGUCGCAUCCUGGGGCUGGAGUCGGUCCCAAGGGUUGGGCUGUUCGCCCAUUAAAGCGGCACGCGAGCUGGGUUUAGAACGUCGUGAGACAGUUCGGUCCCCAUCCGCUGCGCGCGUAGGAAUCUUGAGAGAGGCUGUCCUCAGUACGAGAGGACCGGGACGGACAAACCUCUGGUGUGCCAGUUGUUCUGCCAAGAGCACGGCUGGUUGGCUACGUUUGGAAGUGAUAACCGCUGAAAGCAUCUAAGCGGGAAGCACGUCUCAAGAUGAGGGUUCCCACAGAGUUAAUCUGGUAAGGCCCCCGGAAGACCACCGGGUUGAUAGGUCGGAUGUGGAAGUUCAGCAAUGCAUGGAGCUGACCGAUACUAAUAGGCC
rnacentral:rRNA from 1 species